rnacentral:rRNA from 1 species
GGCGCACGGGUGAGUACGCGUAUGUAACCUGCCCGCAACAGGGGGAUAACCCGGCGAAAGUCGGACUAAUACCGCAUAAAACAGGGGUCCCGCAUGGGAAUAUUUGUUAAAGAUUUAUCGGUUGCGGAUGGGCAUGCGUACCAUUAGGUAGUUGGUGAGGUAACGGCUCACCAAGCCCUCGAUGGUUAGGGGUUCUGAGAGGAAGGUCCCCCACACUGGUACUGAGACACGGACCAGACUCCUACGGGAGGCAGCAGUGAGGAAUAUUGGUCAAUGGGCGAGAGCCUGAACCAGCCAAGUCGCGUGAAGGAUGACUGCCCUAUGGGUUGUAAACUUCUUUUACAAGGGAAUAAAAUGAGAUACGUGUAUUUUAUUGCAUGUACCUUGGGAAUAAGCAUCGGCUAACUCCGUGCCAGCAGCCGCGGUAAUACGGAGGAUGCGAGCGUUAUCCGGAUUUAUUGGGUUUAAAGGGUGCGUAGGUGGGCUGUUAAGUCAGCGGUGAAAGUUUGUCGCUUAACGAUAAAAUUGCCGUUGAAACUGGUAGUCUUGAGUAUAGAUGAAGUAGGCGGAAUGCGUGGUGUAGCGGUGAAAUGCAUAGAGAUCACGCAGAACUCCGAUUGCGAAGGCAGCUUACUAAGGUAUAACUGACACUGAAGCACGAAAGCGUGGGUAUC